rnacentral:rRNA from 1 species
AUACGGAGGGGACUAGCGUUGUUCGGAAUUACUGGGCGUAAAGAGUUCGUAGGCGGACUGAUAAGUAAGAGGUGAAAUCCCAGGGCUCAACCCUGGAACUGCCCUUUAAACUGUCAGUCUAGAGACCGGAAGAGGUUAGGGGAAUACCUAGUGUAGAGGUGAAAUUCGUAGAUAUUAGGUGGAACACCAGUGGCGAAGGCGCCUAACUGGUCCGGUACUGACGCUGAGGAACGAAAGCGUGGGGAACAAACAGGAUUAGAAACCCUAGUAGUCC